UGAACGCUGGCGGUAUGCUUAACACAUGCAAGUCGAACGGUAACAGCGGAAGCUUGCUUCCGGCUGACGAGUGGCGGACGGGUGAGUAACGCGUAGGAAUCUGCCUGGUAGUGGGGGACAACUCGGGGAAACUCGAGCUAAUACCGCAUACGCCCUACGGGGGAAAGCGGGGGAUCUUCGGACCUCGCGCUAUCAGAUGAGCCUGCGUCGGAUUAGCUAGUUGGUAAGGUAAUGGCUUACCAAGGCGACGAUCCGUAGCUGGUCUGAGAGGACGAUCAGCCACACUGGGACUGAGACACGGCCCAGACUCCUACGGGAGGCAGCAGUGGGGAAUAUUGGACAAUGGGGGCAACCCUGAUCCAGCAAUACCGCGUGUGUGAAGAAGGCCUGCGGGUUGUAAAGCACUUUCAGUAGGGAAGAAAAGCGAAGGGUUAAUAACCCUUUGUCUUGACGUUACCUACAGAAGAAGCACCGGCUAACUCC
rnacentral:rRNA from 1 species